rnacentral:rRNA from 1 species
AUUGAACGCUGGCGGCAGGCUUAACACAUGCAAGUCGAGCGGGGUGAUGGUGCUUGCACUAUCACUUAGCGGCGGACGGGUGAGUAAUGCUUAGGAAUCUGCCUAUUAGUGGGGGACAACAUCUCGAAAGGGAUGCUAAUACCGCAUACGUCCUACGGGAGAAAGCAGGGGAUCACUUGUGACCUUGCGCUAAUAGAUGAGCCUAAGUCGGAUUAGCUAGUUGGUGGGGUAAAGGCCUACCAAGGCGACGAUCUGUAGCGGGUCUGAGAGGAUGAUCCGCCAAACUGGGACUGAGGCACGGCCCAGACUCCUACGGGAGGUAGCAGUGGGGAAUAUUGGACAAUGGGGGGAACCCUGAUCCCGCCAUGCCGCGUGUGUGAAGAAGGCCUUAUGGUUGUAAAGCACUUUAAGCGAGGAGGAGGCUCUUUUGGUUAAUACCCAAGAUGAGUGGACGUUACUCGCAGAAUAAGCACCGGCUAACUCUGUGCCAGCCGCCGCGGUAAAAC